AAAAAAAAAAAAUGAUUUAUACCCGCAAGCCCCCUUAAAUUAAUUUAUAUAGAGACUUAAUUUUUUUUUUGAGAAAUGGGGAGAUUUGCUUAGGAAAAUUUUUGUUUGACAAAAUUAAGUCUAUUGUUUGGCAAGUCUAUUUUUUUUUAUAAUACAUGUUACUGGUACUUUUACACAAGGUGAUUUUCAUUAUGGAGGUUUUUUUUUACUCAUUUUGGAUGAAGAAUAUCAAUUGAACAAUGAUAUUUCUAUGUUUUAUGUAGUUGUGUAAUGGUUUGUUAUGUUGUAGAAUUAAUUGGAAUGACUGACUGUAUAUGUAUCAUCAGUAUUUGUGUCAUAUUUAUGUAGCCUGAUUAAUUAGUCAGUGUCUCUGCUUCUAAAGCUAGUCAGAGUAAAAAUUGUAUUUGAAUCGCUGCAUGGUAACAAUUCAUAAUUCUGAGUUCAAAUUUAGUUUAUUUAACUACAUGCAACACAGAUAUGGUAAUUUAGAAUAAGAUCUUUUUUUGAAGGGUCUUUACAAAAAAGAAGUUAUAUAAAAAAGUAUCUUUGAUAUUCCGAGAGAUGCAAUCCUAGAAUACUUUUUGUGGGUUUUAUUCACCAUUUUGGAAAUAAAAGUUGUGAUAAUGAUUCUGCUUAGUGGUGUUAGUUUCUAACCUUCUGCAUCAUUUGGUCUCUGGUGGAGAGUUGUCUUAUUGGCAAUCAUACCACAUCUUCUUAUUUUCAUAUUAGAGUUAUAUGGGUAGCUUCCUCAUUUGCAAUCAUGCUGCAUUUUUUAUUUUAAUGAAAGUGCUUGUUAGAGGGAGGAUACUUUAUUUUCAAUAUUUUUUCUUCUAGUAUCAUCUAGUGCAAUGUGUUAGAUAUUCCUAAGACAGUGAUUGAGAGGGGACCACUGAACUUAAUUCUAUUUUUGUAUUUUAUAUUAUACACCUUAUGAACAAACAUUCCAGAACUUUUUUUGAUAAAUUUUAAUUUAAAACAAUAUUGUUAUUAUUUAUAUUUUUAAAUUCCACAAUUCCAUAAUUUUGCAUUUAAUGAUUCCAUGAUGAUUUGCUCGUUAAUAUAUAUUAUUAGUUAUAUAUUUUAAAUUUUCUGAAAUCCUUACUUUAAUAGCAGAA
rnacentral:lncRNA from 1 species